rnacentral:piRNA from 1 species
UCCAAGCCUGAGGAUACUCAUCUCCAU